rnacentral:rRNA from 1 species
AGUGAACGCUGGCGGUAGGCCUAACACAUGCAAGUCGAACGGCAGCACAGGACAGCUUGCUCUCUGGGUGGCGAGUGGCGGACGGGUGAGGAAUACAUCGGAAUCUACUCUGUCGUGGGGGAUAACGUAGGGAAACUUACGUUAAUACCGCAUACGACCUACGGGUGAAAGCAGGGGAUCUUCGGACCUUGCGCGAUUGAAUGAGCCGAUGUCGGAGUAGCUAGUUGGCGGGGUAAAGGCCCACCAAGGCGACGAUCCGUAGCUGGUCUGAGAGGAUCAUCGGCGAGGCUGCAACUGAGACACGGUCCAGACUCCUACGGGGGGCAGCAGUGGGGAAGAUUGGACGAUGGGCGCAAGCCUGAUCCAGCCAUACCGCGUGGGUGAAGAAGGCCUUCGGGUUGUAAAGCCCUUUUGUUGGGAAAGAAAUCCAGCUGGCUAAUACCCGGUUGGGAUGACGGUACCCGAAGAAUAAGCACCGGCUAACUUCGUGCCAGCCGCCGCGGUAA